CCCCUAGAUGUUCUGGGCCGCACGCGCGCUACACUGAACAGUUCAACAAGUCUUAACCUUGGCCGAUAGGUCUGGGUAAUCUUUGAACGCUGUUCGUGAUUGGGAUAGACCUUUGCAAUUAUGGGUCUUCAACGAGGAAUUCCUAGUAAACGCAAGUCAUCAGCUUGCGUUGAUUACGUCCCUGCCCUUUGUACACACCGCCCGUCGCUCCUACCGAUUGAAUGGUCCGGUGAAGCGUUCGGACCGUGGCCUUUGGACGGUUCGCCGUCUGUUGGCUGCGGGAAGUUCGUUAAACCUUAUCAUUUAGAGGAAGGAGAAGUCGUAACA
rnacentral:rRNA from 1 species